CAGAAGUUUCAAAACGUCGGUGGAUAUCAGUAAGAGGAGGACAUCAAUCACUCGGUUUCAGCUUACUGGUUGAGGAAAGCGAAAAGUGGACUGGAUGGAUCACUUACCUCUCUCAAAUGCAUCUCUGAUGAGGUUCACCUCCCUCUGGGAACCAGGAACUCUGAAAAUUCCUUCAUGGUGGAGGCCUGCAACACACGCCCUGACAUCAAAGUCCAUCUUCCCCAUAGAAGCUAAAGCAGAUAAACUGACUCACCAUGAAGGUUUAUGAAACGAAUGCAGCUCUCAACCACCACAGGAAUCUGCUGCCCAGAGCUCUGCAGAGACAAGACAGGCAUGCAAAUGGAGAGUGAAGAUACAGUCAAACAUAGAGGAGAAGGAAAUGUUAAAAUGUGUAAGAAAAAUGAAGCAAAAACAGCAAAGAAACAGGAGAAAGUUGAAGCAGAAGGCUAAUAUAAUGCUACUAUUAUCUAAUAGUAUUUUUCAGCCUGUAGCCCCCAAAGCAACAGUUUCAGAGACUGUUGACACCCUAAAAAUACAUAGAAUUAUUGAUACUGGCUUAAAGGGGUGUAUAGUGCCUUUCAAGUAAUAACUAUGUUAACUCCAGUUGAUAAAAAAUGAAAUGCUAUAUAGAUAAAAUAUGACUGAAGAGAAAUUUUACUUUCUGAUUUAAUGGCUUGAG